UUGAACGCUGGCGGCAGGCCUAACACAUGCCAGUCGAGCGGAUGAAGGGAGCUUGCUCCUGGAUUCAGCGGCGGACGGGUGAGUAAUGCCUAGGAAUCUGCCUGGUAGUGAGGGAUAACGUCCGGAAACGGGCGCUAAUACCGCAUACGUCCUGAGGGAGAAAGUGGGGGAUCUUCGGACCUCACGCUAUCAGAUGAGCCUAGGUCGGAUUAGCUAGUUGGUGGGGUAAAGGCCUACCAAGGCGACGAUCCGUAACUGGUCUGAGAGGAUGAUCAGUCACACUGGAACUGAGACACGGUCCAGACUCCUACGGGAGGCAGCAGUGGGGAAUAUUGGACAAUGGGCGAAAGCCUGAUCCAGCCAUGCCGCGUGUGUGAAGAAGGUCUUCGGAUUGUAAAGCACUUUAAGUUGGGAGGAAGGGCAGUAAGUUAAUACCUUGCUGUUUUGACGUUACCAACAGAAUAAGCACCGGCUAACUUCGUG
rnacentral:rRNA from 1 species